UGUGAUUAAAAUUGGGGCUCUCUGAUUUGCACAUCUGGCAUCAACGGUCCUGGACAAAAGCUGGUCUCACAUGAGAAUUUUGUCCAAGGCUCCCACUUCCCGCUUGCAGCAGCUCACAUUCCCGCUUGAAGCAGCUCGAAACAGCUUUGCCAAAAUUCCCAUCUCGCACAACGCUUGUGAACCCACCAUCUCGCACCACCAUUGCCACCCUUGCGAACCCAAUAGCUCACUCCUUUUCUACUCUGGUUCCUCUUCUCCUCUUCUAGCUCCAACCUAACCGUUCCAACCACCGAAAAAGUAGGACGGCAUAGAUGAAGAGAUUGAGAAAAUGAAAGGAUUGAAUCAAAGUUACAAGUGGGGAAGUUCAUCAACUCUAAUCCCCGUGUAUUAGGUGAUGGGGAGUGUGGAAAAUUCUUACAACCUUCAACCUUCUACUCUAAGAUUGCAUGAUUUUCAUUUAAACUCCUUUAUGUCUAAACACAAUUUUUUGGGACUCCAGGGUUGAAUAUGACCCAAAAGUUGAUCCAUUAGAAAUGGUAUCAAAAGAAGGAUCUGGAGAUGGGAUGGUUCUCUCAUAUCAACUUAAGAUGGACCGGCUUCACAGUGAGGAAAGAUGGGAAUGAAGAGAUGUCAAAUGGAGCAAGUACAGUGGUGCUGAUAGGAGUGCUGGAAUUUUGCCGAACAUUACUAAAUUUUUCACAUUGCAGCUAUUAGCUUGCUUACCAGUGACAAUGCGAAUGCUGAAAAUGAAUACCUAAUGGAUGUAGCAUUAACACGUUUUAAAUUUACCAUACAAGAAAAUGUUGGCAAUGUUGCGUAAUGGUUGGAUUGAAAUUGGUGUAGCUCACUAACUUUGCAACUGUAACAUGGAUGUUUGUGUUGUGAAUAAAUUACUGAAAGUUAAGUUUCAGGAAUUGGUGUUGCAUUUGUAUUCUUUAUGCCUUUCCAUUUGUUUUUUAACCAAAAGAUGUGUACUGGUAGAUAAUUUACAG